CCUACGGGGGGCAGCAGUGGGGAAUAUUGGGCAAUGGGCGCAAGCCUGACCCAGCAAUGCCGCGUGAAGGAAGAAGGCUUUCGGGUUGUAAACUUCUUUGACAGGGGAAGAGCAGAAGACGGUACCCUGAAAACCAGCCACGGCUAACUACGUGCCAGCAGCCGCGGUAAUACGUAGGUGGCAAGCGUUGUCCGGAUUUACUGGGUGUAAAGGGCGUGUAGCCGGGAAGGCAAGUCAGAUGUGAAAUCUGGAGGCUCAACCUCCAAAUUGCAUUUGAAACUGUUUUUCUUGAGUACUGGAGAGGCAGACGGAAUUCCUUGUGUAGCGGUGAAAUGCGUAGAUAUAAGGAGGAACACCAGUGGCGAAGGCGGUCUGCUGGACAGUAACUGACGGUGAGGCGCGAAAGCGUGGGGAGCAAACAGGAUUAGAUACCCCAGUAGUC
rnacentral:rRNA from 1 species